rnacentral:rRNA from 1 species
AGCGAACGCUGGCGGCAGGCCUAACACAUGCAAGUCGAGCGCCGUAGCAAUACGGAGCGGCAGACGGGUGAGUAACACGUGGGAACGUGCCCUUCAGUUCGGAACAACCCAGGGAAACUUGGGCUAAUACCGGAUACGUCCGUAAGGAGAAAGAUUUAUCGCUGAAGGAUCGGCCCGCGUCUGAUUAGCUUGUUGGUGGGGUAACGGCCCACCAAGGCGACGAUCAGUAGCUGGUCUGAGAGGAUGAUCAGCCACACUGGGACUGAGACACGGCCCAGACUCCUACGGGAGGCAGCAGUGGGGAAUAUUGGACAAUGGGCGCAAGCCUGAUCCAGCCAUGCCGCGUGAGUGAUGAAGGCCCUAGGGUUGUAAAGCUCUUUCGGCGGGGAAGAUAAUGACGGUACCCGCAGAAGAAGCCCCGGCCAACUUCGUGCCAGCCGCCGCCGUAAAAC